ensembl:lncRNA
GCUAACCAGCAAGGUCCUACUGUAUAGCACAGGGAACUCUGUGUUAUGUGAAGACUGGAUAGGAGGGAAUUUGGGGGAGAAUGGAUAUGUGUGUAUAUGUAUGGCUGAGUCCCUUUACUGUCCCCUGAAACUAUCACAACAUUGUGGCUAUACUCCAAUACAAAAUAAAAAAAUUUCUUUAAAAAAUAAGGCAUCUCCUUAAAGAUAACAUUACUUACAUGGUGCUUAAAUCUGGAUUAUGCAAACUGUCAAUAAUACAUCAUUUGAUGUACAGCCCCCAUCUCAAAAAAACUUACAUAACUAUACCAUGACUUCUAAUGGGCAGAGUUCUCAGAGGUUUCUGAGAUGUUCUUCCUAGGUUAUACUCCUCAACUUUGAUUCAAAUAAUAUUUUUUAGAUUGACUGAUUUAUUUUUUAUCACCAUCUUUUUUGGAUUGAUUUUCUAUGGUAUUUAAUAUGUUCUAAAAUGUACACUCAUGUCCCCAUGUAUAAAGUUUUCGUGGAUAUCUUUAUUUUUUAUAACAUUAUUUUGAUUUUCUUCUUCAAGGUUUUAAAUUAUGUGUAUGUUGAUGCCUCUUUACUUGUUUCCUAUAUAAUUUGCCUUCGUUUAAAAUCUUUAUUUUACUUUUUAUAAAAACAAUUCAGUAUUUAUUUGGUUGUGCCAGGUCUUAGUUGUGACAUGUGGGAUCUACUUUCCUGACCAGGGAUUAAACCUAGGUCCCCCACAUUGGGAGCAGAGUCCUAUCCACUGGACCACCAGGGAUGUCCCCUUAUUUCACUUUUCUUAUUGUUAUACUCUGUGAUCCUUAGUUUUCCUUCUGUGUCUACUCUCUUUUUGGUUGCUCUAUAUUGUCCUAAUCUCUUUUGGGUUUACUUAUUUCCUGUACUUCUUUCAGUUCAUAAAUUAUCUCCUAUUAUAGUUUCAUCAUCUCUUUCCAGAAUUCUUUUUUUUUUUUUUGCUUCGUGAGUGUCUUCCAGAUAUGCAAUUACUUCAUUAAGAUUUCUUAAAUUAAUGGUGAAAAUUUUGGUUACAGUUUCAUGUUUCUUGAUAGCUAUUUUUCUCCUGGUUGGUAUGAUUUGCCCAUUGAUAACUUUGUAAUGUUUUUACAUUUAAAAAAUAUGUAUCAGUGUUGGGCCAGAAAAUUUUUAUUGCCUAGUAAUGAAUGAGUUAGGUUUUCUUAAACCAUCUUUUUGCAUACUAUUGCACAGCAAGAGAAGCAGGUCAGGGUGGCCUUUCAUGCUUUAUAACCAAAGGUUCUCUCCUCUUCUGUUGGUACAAAAACAUACUGCUCCCAAAGAUUUGAAUUAGCUGUGUGAUUUUUGGGUAGUCCCUCCACCUCUACUUCUCUGGACCAUACGGUGUCCAGGAAGGCUGCUAUUAGAGCCUUGAUCAUCCAGAUUUCCACAACACUUUUUGCAAAGAAGUGAUACUACCUCUCAGCUGCAAAGUGAGUUCCUCAACUUCAGAAAGUGAAUUUUUUUUUUUUUUUUACUUGUUGGUUGCACUGGGUCUUUGUUGCCUCACAUGGGCUUUCUCUAGUUGCAGCUCACGGAGGCUAUUCUUUAGUUGAAUUGCACUGACUUCUCACUCCAGUGGCUUCUUUUGUUAUGGAGCGCAGGCUCUUGGCACUUGGGCUUGGUAAUUGCGGUGCAUGGGCUUUAGUUUCUUCUCAGCUUGUGGACUCUUUUCCAGACCGGGGAUAGAACCUGUGUUCCCUGCAUCUGCAGGCAGAUUGUUACCCACUCUACCACCAGGGAAGUCCAGAGAGUGAAUUUUUUUUCCUGCUGUUUUCUGAACUCUGUUAUAAGGAUCUGUGCAGCUAUCCAUUGCAGGACUUUUUCAUCCUCCUAGGCUUCAUCUCUGUUAACCUGUUAAACACUAAUUCUCCAUCUUCCUCUUGCCCCAAAGGAAGAUGUUCUACUGUUCUACUUCCUGUCUCUCUAAAUUUGAAUACCCUGGGUAAUAAGUGAAAUCAUACAGUAUUUGUUCUUCUGUGUCUGGCUUGUUUCAGCCAUCCAGCACAUAUCAAGUUCAUUCCUUUCUAAGGCUGAAUAUUUCAUUGUGUAUCUAUGCCACAUUCUGUUAAUCCAUUCAUUCUUUGACAGAUAUUUGGGUUAUUUCCAAUUUGGGGCUACUGUGGAUAAUGCUGCUAUGAACAUCUAUGUAUACAAAUU